AAGAAGGCAACACAGUGCAUUACACCGAAAUUAUCCAGAAUGCUUGGGCAACCAAAAGGAACUGGUGCCAUCUCGUAUUUAUUAAGUGGAACAGCGUACCAAGAAAUACAUAUUAUUUCCUUGAAGCUCCAAUAUGAGGAUUGUGCAGCUGGAAAGGAAGGAGAGAGAAUGAUCAGAAUCAGAGACCUCACAUCAGGACAGAUGGAGAAGAGCGUCCUUGGUCUUCGUUCUGCAGCUCGAAACACGUGGCCACGACAAGGUGACAUUCGAGCCUCAAGUUCCUUGUCGGGAGAAUAUGAGACGAUGAGACACGGUGUUGCGCGGUCUCCCACAGACGUCGUGUGCUGUUGAGUAUUCUCUCCUAGAAGCUCUCACAUCUGGGGACAGAGCGGGAAAAGGAGGUGUCACAUAAGACCCUGUCCAGACAGGGCGACCCCAAAGCCGCAACGGACACGUGCCUUUUCCACGCUCCCAUGGAUGGUCAGCGGGACCCACUGGUCCCCCUCAAUGAGGCACCCGGGCUCUGGAUGCACCAGGGUGACUUGCGUUUUUUCAAAAGGGUUGCGAAACACCAGAGCAAAUGGGCUCAGAGAGUAAUUAAUUUCAACUCACGCUAAUUAAA